rfam:Oryza glumipatula chromosome 1, whole genome shotgun sequence.
ACUCCGUCCUAUUAUAAUAGUACAACCAUUAAAUUUGAUCUUGCGUCUUAUUUAAUUUUUUUUAUAAUUAAUAUUUUUAUUGUUAUUAGAUGAUAAAAUAUGAAUAGUACUUUAUGCGUGACUUCUGUUUUUAUUUUUUAAAACUUUCAAAUAAAACGAGCGAUCAAAAUUUAGCACGGAAAAUUAUAGCCUGUAUUUAAA